rnacentral:rRNA from 1 species
AGUGAACGCUGGCGGCGUGCUUAACACAUGCAAGUCGAACGAGAAACGGUCUAGCUUGCUAGAUGCAGUCUAAGUGGCGCACGGGUGAGUAAUAUAUAGGUAAUAUGCCUCUUACUAAGGGAUAACAGAUGGAAACGUCUGCUAAUACCUUAUAUGCCUUUAGGACUAAAGUCCGCAAGGGAAAGAUUUAUCGGUAAGAGAUUAGCCUGUACAGUAUCAGUUAGUUGGUGAGGUAAUGGCUCACCAAGCCAACGAUCUGUAGCUGGUCUGAGAGGACGACCAGCACACUGGAACUGAGACACGGUCCAGACUCCUACGGGAGGCAGCAGUGGGGAAUAAUUGCACAAUA